rnacentral:rRNA from 1 species
AUACGGAGGGUGCAAGCGUUACUCGGAAUCACUGGGCGUAAAGGAUGCGUAGGCUGGAUGUCAAGUUGGAAGUGAACUCCUAUGGCUUAACCAUAGAACUGCUUCCAAAACUGGCAACCUAGAGUGAGAGAGAGGCAGAUGGAAUUAGUGGUGUAGGGGUAAAAUCCGUAGAUAUCACUAGGAAUACCGAUUGCGAAGGCGAUCUGCUAGAACUCUACUGACGCUAAGGCAUGAAAGCGUGGGGAGCAAACAGGAUUAGAAACCCUGGUAGUCC